rnacentral:tRNA from 1 species
GGGCAGGUGGCGAAACUGGUAGACGCGCAAGCUUGAGGGGCUUGUAGGAGUAAUCCUGUGGAGGUUCAAAUCCUCUUCUGCCCA